rnacentral:misc_RNA from 1 species
AACGCACAUUGCGCCCCUCGGUAUCCCGGGGGGCAUGCCUGUUCGAGCGUCAUUUCUACCACUCAAGCGCAGCUUGGUAUUGGGCGUCGUUGCUUUUCUAGCCAACGUGCCUUAAAUGUAGACGGCGGCAAGCACCAGUUCCGAGCGUAGCAGAAAACUCGCUUUGGGGGCUUUGGGGCAUUGUCAACCGCAUAAAGCUUUUUUUACAAGUUUGACCUCGGAUCAGGCAGGGAUACCCGCUGAACUUAA